GAAAGUCCGGGCUUCAUAGGGCAGGAUGCCGGCUAACGGCCGGUGGGGGAAACCCUAAGGAUAGUGCAACAGAAAAUAAACCGCCGAGCAAUCGGUAAGGGUGGAAUGGCGGUGUAAGAGACCACCGCUUGUCUGGUAACAGGCAAGGCUGUGUAAACCCCAUCCGAAGCAAGACCGCAUCGAAGCGUUAUUAGGUUGCCCGCCAAGCUUCAGGUAGGUCGCUUGAUGUGGCUGGUAACAGUCAUACUAGAUAGAUGAUCAUUCUCGACAGAACCCGGCUUAUAGUCCUGCGCCCUCU
rnacentral:RNase_P_RNA from 1 species